UACGUAGGCGCAAGCGUUGUCCGGAAUUAUUGGGCGUAAAGAGCUCGUAGGCGGUUUGUCGCGUCUGCUGUGAAAACCUAAGGCUCAACCUUGGGCUUGCAGUGGGUACGGGCAGACUAGAGUGCGGUAGGGGUGACUGGAAUUCCUGGUGUAGCGGUGGAAUGCGCAGAUAUCUGGAGGAACACCGGUGGCGAAGGCGGCAUCCUGGACCGAG
rnacentral:rRNA from 1 species